rnacentral:rRNA from 1 species
UACGGGGGGGGCAAGCGUUGUUCGGAAUUACUGGGCGUAAAGGGCUCGUAGGCGGCCAACUAAGUCGGACGUGAAAUCCCCAGGCUCAACCUGGGAACUGCGUCCGAUACUGGAUGGCUUGAAUCCGGGAGAGGGAUGCAGAAUUCCCGGUGUAGUGGUGAAAUGCGUAGAGAUCGGGAGGAACACCUGUGGCGAAGGCGGCCGACUGGGCCGACCCUGACGCUGAGGCGCGAAGGCGUGGGGAGCGAACGGG